rnacentral:rRNA from 1 species
UACGGAGGGUGCAAGCGUCAUCCGGAUUCACUGGGUUUAAAGGGUGCGUAGGCGGGCAGGUAAGUCAGUGGUGAAAUCUCCGAGCUUAACUCGGAAACUGCCGUUGAUACUAUUUGUCUUGAAUAUUGUGGAGGUAAGCGGAAUAUGUCAUGUAGCGGUGAAAUGCUUAGAUAUGACAUAGAACACCAAUUGCGAAGGCAGCUUACUACACAACGAUUGACGCUGAGGCACGAAAGCGUGGGGAUCAAACAGG